GACGACGUUCCUUCCUAUGCAGCAUCCGACGCCCUCUCUGAAUCUUGCCACGAAGAGUAUCCAGCACAACCUACUGGUUCUUCAGUCAAUCAAGUCUUAAAAGAAGUGCAUAAGACUGUAUUGGCACUGGAGGCCAGGCUCAUUGCUUUCCAGGUGAAGUGUUUUCAACACAACAAAGAAAUGCUGCUCAUGCUCAAGCAGCAACAGAAGCAGCAGGGUCAUGCGUUGCUAGCGCUGCAUUUACCUGAUGGGUGUCCCCAGCUGCCAGCCACAACUUUUUUGCAGUUGGAAGAA